AGUGAACGCUGGCGGUAGGCCUAACACAUGCAAGUCGAACGGCAGCACAGUAAGAGCUUGCUCUUACGGGUGGCGAGUGGCGGACGGGUGAGGAAUACAUCGGAAUCUACUUUUUCGUGGGGGAUAACGUAGGGAAACUUACGCUAAUACCGCAUACGACCUACGGGUGAAAGCAGGGGAUCUUCGGACCUUGCGCGGUUGAAUGAGCCGAUGUCGGAUUAGCUAGUUGGCGGGGUAAAGGCCCACCAAGGCGACGAUCCGUAGCUGGUCUGAGAGGAUGAUCAGCCACACUGGAACUGAGACACGGUCCAGACUCCUACGGGAGGCAGCAGUGGGGAAUAUUGGACAAUGGGCGCAAGCCUGAUCCAGCCAUACCGCGUGGGUGAAGAAGGCCUUCGGGUUGUAAAGCCCUUUUGUUGGGAAAGAAAAGCAGCAGGUUAAGACCCCGCUGUUCUGACGGUACCCAAAGAAUAAGCACCGGCUAACUUCGU
rnacentral:rRNA from 1 species